UACGUAGGAGGCGAGCGUUGUCCGGAGUUACUGGGCGUAAAGGGUGCGCAGGCGGCGUCACGCGUGGCUCGAUGAAAUCUCCUGGCUUACCUGGGAGGGUGGGAGCCAGACGGUGGCGCUUGAGGGUCGGAGAGGGGCGUGGAAUUCCGGGUGGAGCGGUGAAAUGCGUAGAGAUCCGGAGGAACACCGACGGCGAAGGCGGCAUCCUGGACCGACACUGACGCUGAGGAGCGAAAGCCAGGGGAGCAAACGGG
rnacentral:rRNA from 1 species